rnacentral:rRNA from 1 species
CCUACGGGAGGCAGCAGUGGGGAAUAUUGCACAAUGCGCGAAACCCUGAUGCAGCGACGCCGCGUGAGUGAAGAAGUAUUUCGGUAUGUAAAGCUCUAUCAGCAGGGAAGAAAAUGACGGUACCUGAUUAAGAAGCCCCGGCUAACUCCGUGCCAGCAGCCGCCGUAAUACUUAGGGUGCAAGCGUGAUCCGGAUUUACUGGGCUUAAAGGGAGCGUAGGCGGCAGCACAAGUCUGGAGUGAAAUGCCGGAGCUUAACCCCGGAACUGCUUUGGAAACUGUGCAACUAGAGUGCAGGAGAGGUAAGUGGAAUUCCUAGUGUAGCGGUGAAAUGCGUAGAUAUUAGGAGGAACACCAGUGGCGAAGGCGGCUUACUGGACUGUAACUGACGUUGAGGCUCGAAAGCGUGGGGAGCAAACAGGAUUAGAUACCCUUGUAGUC